AAGUCCCGUAACGAGCGCAACCCUUGUCCUUAGUUACCAGCACGUUAUGGUGGGCACUCUAAGGAGGACUGCCGGUGGACAAACCGGAGGAAGGUGGGGAGUGACGUCAAGUCAUCAUGGCCCUUACGGCCUGGGCUACACACGUGCUACAAUGGUCGGUACAAAGGGUUGCCAAGCCGCGAGGUGGAGCUAAUCCCAUAAAACCGAUCGUAGUCCGGAUCGCAGUCUGCAACUCGACUGCGUGAAGUCGGAAUCGCUAGUAAUCGUGAAUCAGAAUGUCACGGUGAAUACGUUCCCGGGCCUU
rnacentral:rRNA from 1 species